UACGUAGGGACCGAGCGUUGUCCGGAUUCAUUGGGCGUAAAGAGCUCGUAGGCGGCUGCUCAAGUCAAUGUGAAAACUCGAGGCUCAACCUCGAGCCGUGCAUUCGAUACUGGGCGGCUAGAGUCUGGUAGGGGGAUCUGGGAAUUCCUGGUGUAGCGGUGGAAUGCGCAGAUAUCAGGAGGAACACCGGUGGCGAAGGCGGGUCUCUGGGCCGAUGACUGACGCUGAGGAGCGAAAGCGUGGGGAGCGAACAGG
rnacentral:rRNA from 1 species